UUAAGUGACGAUAGCCUAGGAGAUACACCUGUUCCCAUGCCGAACACAGAAGUUAAGCCCUAGAACGCCGGAAGUAGUUGGGGGUUGCCCCCUGUGAGAUAUGGUAGUCGCUUAGC
rnacentral:rRNA from 1 species